rnacentral:lncRNA from 1 species
GUUGACAGUUGGGCUAAUCCUCUUAACACAAGGAGAAAAUAGUGGAAAACACUAUGUAUCCACUUUAAGACUCCCCCCUCCUGCCUCUCUCACUUACUCGCUUGACAACCAAGCACAGGCCUACUGUGGGAUGCGUCCCCCUGGCAACCGUUUGUCCGUGCGUGUAGGUGAUUGUUGCCAUGGUUUCUUCACCGCAGGAACACCACAGCAGGUUAUUUGGCCGGGCAAUGACGGACAAGGCACAGUGCAGGUGCUUCAGUGCUGGCAGUGAUGAGUCACAGAUGAAAAAGUACACAGGAUAAUGUAUAUGAAUACCCACUAGGGCUACAGAAGUAAUUAUUAACCCCAAAAAAAGCAUAAUAUCCCCCCUUUAAUAUCUGUAUUGAAGCAACAAAGAAGGACUGCUGGUGUCUUGUAAAUUAGGCUGCAAGUAUAACAGCAGUAAAUUAUAUCAUAUUUAGAUUUUUCUAUAUAUGAAAUGCUCAGAAUGGUAAUUUCAAAACAAAAUGCCAUAUUUAAUUUCCUAUAUGUUCCGUCAGCCUCAUAAAGAACUAAAAAAGUUAAGUCCAAAUAAAUACACAGACACCCAAUGUUGAUGAAACCUUGCCUCUCCUCUCAGGCUACAUACAUCGGAGCCAUGGGUCAACCGUGGGUAAGCACAGCGUGCAGUAGAACAUCCAAUCCAAGCUGGGGAGCGCAUGAGAUGAGGGGGAAAGCCCGGGUGCAGCAGUGCCUCAUGAACCUACCGGCUCUGGCUGAUUGUGGACGGCCAAAGCAUUGGCUCAGAGCAAGGCUUUACAUACGGCCCCCUGGGUGAAGAAGGCUUGAAGAUUACAAUCAGUGUCGAGGGGAGAACGCUGGGAUUCGUAUGAGCAAAAAACGUCCAGACUAAAUAGGUGAGUUAAACGACAAACAAGAUGGGGAGGAGGAGAAAUGAGUGGGUCGCUCGCGCUCUCUCACUCGCGCUCUGGCUCUCUCUCUCUCUCUCUCUUUCCCACCUCUCGCUCUCUCUUUCCCCCCUCUCGCUCUCUGUAUUUAGGAUUAUACUGAUCCAUGUAUAAUUUAGCCCUGCUCCUACAGCAGAACCCAUACAGGAGGAGCAGUGUAAAUACACAUGAGGAUGAACAGGCACUGUGUUUUGUUCGGUAUUCUAUCCAACAUGAACUGUGCUAGCAUGCCAGCCAGCAUACCCCCCCCCCCCCCCCCCCCCCUCCCCAAAUAUACACAGACAGACAGACAGAGAGACAGACAGGACCCCUCUGUCACGCUACUGCUGGUAAUGACAUGAAAGGUGGAGAGGUUGGAGCGGGAGGUUGGAGCGCCUUUCGCCGCGCAUGGGACGGCAGGAGUGCAUGGCUCAUGUUUAUCGCCACACACAGGCUGCCUCCCAGGAGACAAUGCAGCCUGAGCCCAUGUGCAUGUCUGCCCAACACACGCGCGCACACGCACGGACACACCCACUACACUACAAUAAGCUUCCUUACAUGGUGAUUUUGAAGACGAGAUCCCAUCUGCCAGGUGUACAAAAACUCAUCGUCUAGAGAUCCAUCAGUGGUCUGUAUUAUACCCACGACUUCAUACCCCGUCCUCCAUCACCCUGAUGAUGAUGACAAUGUCCUGAUUUCAGACAAGAGAGAGGAUGAAUGGCUGUCGGGUUCCCUCAGGGGCGUGACGCGCGCACGCGUGUGUGCGCGCAAGUGUGUGUUUGUGCGCGCAAGUGUGUGUUUGUGCGCGUGUGCGCGUGCAACGCCGUAGCCUUGUUUCCUUCACCGGUCGGUCGUCACUGUGUCUGCCGUCCACACGGCCGCUGCGUGCAUUCAGGUCGUGUUAUUUCAGGAUCUCUCCUCUGAAGCCACCCCCGCGCCCCGGAAACGGUGCGAGGAGGUGGAGGGGCUAAGCAGCCAACCAACGUCUUCGGGAAUGCCUCCCAUGGAGAGCUUUGGCCUCGUCGAGUGAAAAAACACAUUUGACAGGCUGCCUGACAAUAGAUUUGGCAAACACAUUGUCAUUUUUUCUUUAUUUUACUUGUUUCUCUUAAUCGCACUGUUAAACAUGAUGCAUAGGGCUUGUACAUCAGAAUGCUUCACAUAAUUUAUUGUUGGCGAUACUCCAUAUUGUAACCCAAAUAUACUCGCCUUAUUGAGAUGACCAAAGAGUUGCCGAACUUUUCCUUAAUCAAUGUAAAUUUGCUUUAACCAAGGCUAUUAAAGAUGUUGUUGGUCCACGGCUCGCAUGAGUGAUGCUGUGGCAUACACUGUGCAAAAGAAACCUUACUUGAAACAUAACGUUAACGGCUAACGUUCCAAUACUCCUAUGCUCCCAAAAUGGCGGCAGAUGUUUUGGCAGAACCCUGAAGUCAUGAGAUGUAAGAGACAGCCAGGAGGGGGGAUGAGAAAGCCAAGCUACCAGGCUACUCCUUAGUUAAACUGGGCUACCCUUUACAGCCAGACUUUGAUUUUGUGAAAUGUAAUGUAGCGUUGUAGCAUUUGGACAUGCUAUCCCGCUAAUUGGUGGGAAAAGUAGCUUGUUACUGCAAAAGUGACAUUUAAAAAAGGGCUGCUAAGCCACAACCAUCCCCUUAGUUAAGAUUGUGGGUCUCUUUGUAUUGAAUCUCU